rnacentral:rRNA from 1 species
AAAGAACGUGGCGGCAGCCUAACAUUACAGUCGAACGGAUCCUUCGGGAUUAGUGGCGGACGGGUGAUUGGGAACGUGCCCUUUGGUUCGGAACAACUCAUGCAAACUUGAGCUAAUACCGGAUGUGCCCUUCGGGGGAAAGAUUUAUCGCCAUUGGAGCGGCCCGCGUCUGAUUAGCUAGUUGGUGGGGUAAAGGCCCACCAAGGCGACGAUCAGUAGCUGGUCUGAGAGGAUGAUCAGCCACAUUGGGACUGAGACACGGCCCAAACUCCUACGGGAGGCAGCAGUGGGGAAUCUUGCGCAAUGGGCGAAAGCCUGACGCAGCCAUGCCGCGUGAAUGAUGAAAGUCUUAGGAUUGUAAAAUUCUUUCACCGCGGGACGAUAAUGACCGUACACGAGAAGAAGCCCGGCUAACUUCGUGCCAGAACCGCCGUAAUCCCACAGGGCUAC